UACGAAGGGGGCUAGCGUUGCUCGGAAUCACUGGGCGUAAAGGGUGCGUAGGCGGGUCUUUAAGUCAGGGGUGAAAUCCUGGAGCUCAACUCCAGAACUGCCUUUGAUACUGAAGAUCUUGAGUUCGGGAGAGGUGAGUGGAACUGCGAGUGUAGAGGUGAAAUUCGUAGAUAUUCGCAAGAACACCAGUGGCGAAGGCGGCUCACUGGACACGUAUUGACGCUGAGGUGCGAAAGCGUGGGGAGCAAACAGG
rnacentral:rRNA from 1 species